GGGUUGUGAGGUUAAGCGACUAAGCGUACACGGUGGAUGCCCUGGCAGUCAGAGGCGAUGAAGGACGUGCUAAUCUGCGAUAAGCGUCGGUAAGGUGAUAUGAACCGUUAUAACCGGCGAUUUCCGAAUGGGGAAACCCAGUGUGUUUCGACACACUAUCAUUAACUGAAUCCAUAGGUUAAUGAGGCGAACCGGGGGAACUGAAACAUCUAAGUACCCCGAGGAAAAGAAAUCAACCGAGAUUCCCCCAGUAGCGGCGAGCGAACGGGGAGGAGCCCAGAGCCUGAAUCAGUGUGUGUGUUAGUGGAAGCGUCUGGAAAGGCGCGCGAUACAGGGUGACAGCCCCGUACACAAAAAUGCACAUGCUGUGAGCUCGAUGAGUAGGGCGGGACACGUGGUAUCCUGUCUGAAUAUGGGGGGACCAUCCUCCAAGGCUAAAUACUCCUGACUGACCGAUAGUGAACCAGUACCGUGAGGGAAAGGCGAAAAGAACCCCGGCGAGGGGAGUGAAAAAGAACCUGAAACCGUGUACGUACAAGCAGUGGGAGCACGCUUAGGCGUGUGACUGCGUACCUUUUGUAUAAUGGGUCAGCGACUUAUAUUCUGUAGCAAGGUUAACCGAAUAGGGGAGCCGAAGGGAAACCGAGUCUUAACUGGGCGUUAAGUUGCAGGGUAUAGACCCGAAACCCGGUGAUCUAGCCAUGGGCAGGUUGAAGGUUGGGUAACACUAACUGGAGGACCGAACCGACUAAUGUUGAAAAAUUAGCGGAUGACUUGUGGCUGGGGGUGAAAGGCCAAUCAAACCGGGAGAUAGCUGGUUCUCCCCGAAAGCUAUUUAGGUAGCGCCUCGUGAAUUCAUCUCCGGGGGUAGAGCACUGUUUCGGCAAGGGGGUCAUCCCGACUUACCAACCCGAUGCAAACUGCGAAUACCGGAGAAUGUUAUCACGGGAGACACACGGCGGGUGCUAACGUCCGUCGUGAAGAGGGAAACAACCCAGACCGCCAGCUAAGGUCCCAAAGUCAUGGUUAAGUGGGAAACGAUGUGGGAAGGCCCAGACAGCCAGGAUGUUGGCUUAGAAGCAGCCAUCAUUUAAAGAAAGCGUAAUAGCUCACUGGUCGAGUCGGCCUGCGCGGAAGAUGUAACGGGGCUAAACCAUGCACCGAAGCUGCGGCAGCGACGCUUAUGCGUUGUUGGGUAGGGGAGCGUUCUGUAAGCCUGUGAAGGUGUGCUGUGAGGCAUGCUGGAGGUAUCAGAAGUGCGAAUGCUGACAUAAGUAACGAUAAAGCGGGUGAAAAGCCCGCUCGCCGGAAGACCAAGGGUUCCUGUCCAACGUUAAUCGGGGCAGGGUGAGUCGACCCCUAAGGCGAGGCCGAAAGGCGUAGUCGAUGGGAAACAGGUUAAUAUUCCUGUACUUGGUGUUACUGCGAAGGGGGGACGGAGAAGGCUAUGUUGGCCGGGCGACGGUUGUCCCGGUUUAAGCGUGUAGGCUGGUUUUCCAGGCAAAUCCGGAAAAUCAAGGCUGAGGCGUGAUGACGAGGCACUACGGUGCUGAAGCAACAAAUGCCCUGCUUCCAGGAAAAGCCUCUAAGCAUCAGGUAACAUCAAAUCGUACCCCAAACCGACACAGGUGGUCAGGUAGAGAAUACCAAGGCGCUUGAGAGAACUCGGGUGAAGGAACUAGGCAAAAUGGUGCCGUAACUUCGGGAGAAGGCACGCUGAUAUGUAGGUGAAGCGACUUGCUCGUGGAGCUGAAAUCAGUCGAAGAUACCAGCUGGCUGCAACUGUUUAUUAAAAACACAGCACUGUGCAAACACGAAAGUGGACGUAUACGGUGUGACGCCUGCCCGGUGCCGGAAGGUUAAUUGAUGGGGUUAGCCGCAAGGCGAAGCUCUUGAUCGAAGCCCCGGUAAACGGCGGCCGUAACUAUAACGGUCCUAAGGUAGCGAAAUUCCUUGUCGGGUAAGUUCCGACCUGCACGAAUGGCGUAAUGAUGGCCAGGCUGUCUCCACCCGAGACUCAGUGAAAUUGAACUCGCUGUGAAGAUGCAGUGUACCCGCGGCAAGACGGAAAGACCCCGUGAACCUUUACUAUAGCUUGACACUGAACAUUGAGCCUUGAUGUGUAGGAUAGGUGGGAGGCUUUGAAGUGUGGACGCCAGUCUGCAUGGAGCCGACCUUGAAAUACCACCCUUUAAUGUUUGAUGUUCUAACGUUGACCCGUAAUCCGGGUUGCGGACAGUGUCUGGUGGGUAGUUUGACUGGGGCGGUCUCCUCCUAAAGAGUAACGGAGGAGCACGAAGGUUGGCUAAUCCUGGUCGGACAUCAGGAGGUUAGUGCAAUGGCAUAAGCCAGCUUGACUGCGAGCGUGACGGCGCGAGCAGGUGCGAAAGCAGGUCAUAGUGAUCCGGUGGUUCUGAAUGGAAGGGCCAUCGCUCAACGGAUAAAAGGUACUCCGGGGAUAACAGGCUGAUACCGCCCAAGAGUUCAUAUCGACGGCGGUGUUUGGCACCUCGAUGUCGGCUCAUCACAUCCUGGGGCUGAAGUAGGUCCCAAGGGUAUGGCUGUUCGCCAUUUAAAGUGGUACGCGAGCUGGGUUUAGAACGUCGUGAGACAGUUCGGUCCCUAUCUGCCGUGGGCGCUGGAGAACUGAGGGGGGCUGCUCCUAGUACGAGAGGACCGGAGUGGACGCAUCACUGGUGUUCGGGUUGUCAUGCCAAUGGCACUGCCCGGUAGCUAAAUGCGGAAGAGAUAAGUGCUGAAAGCAUCUAAGCACGAAACUUGCCCCGAGAUGAGUUCUCCCUGACCCUUUAAGGGUCCUGAAGGAACGUUGAAGACGACGACGUUGAUAGGCCGGGUGUGUAAGCGCAGCGAUGCGUUGAGCUAACCGGUACUAAUGAACCGUGAGGCUUAACCUUACAACGCCGAAG
rnacentral:rRNA from 1 species